UGGGGAUGUUGGUAUUGUUGUUGUCGGGUUGCAAGAAGUUGAAAUGGGUGCUGGUGUUCUUGCAAUGUCUGCAGCAAAAGAAACCGUAGGACUUGAGGGUAGUUCAGUUGGGCAGUGGUGGAUAGAUAUGAUAGACAAAACAUUGGAUGAAGGGCCAUCAUUUGAACGUGUUGGUUCUCGGCAAUUAGCAGGCUUACUCAUUGCUGUAUGGAUUAGAAAUAAUCUUAAAGCUUAUGUUGGGGAUGUUGAUGCUGCUGCAGUUCCAUGUGGCUUUGGGCGUGCAAUUGGUAAUAAGGGAGCUGUUGGUUUGAGGAUCAGAGUAUAUAAUCGAAUAAUUUGCUUUAUAAAUUGCCACUUUGCGGCACAUGUGGAGGCAGUUAAUCGUCGUAAUGCUGACUUUGACCAUGUAUAUCGAACAAUGACUUUUGGUCGACCUUCUAAUCUCUUCAAUGCUGCAGCUGGUAUGGUGCCGUACCUGUUCUUGUCUUGCUGGCUUGCAUGCUCAAUGUAUUUAUUUUGGCUUUUUUAUGGAUCUGGCUUGCCAUUGCUCCUUUGUAUUGCAGCUGGUUCUUCAUCAGCGGUCCAAAUGCUUCGUACUACAAAUGUUAUGGGUGCCAAUUCUUCAGAAGGAAUGCCUGAGUUAUCUGAGGCAGACAUGGUCAUAUUUCUUGGCGACUUCAAUUAUAGGCUUGGUGGUAUAUCUUAUGAUGAAGCAAG
rnacentral:misc_RNA from 1 species